rnacentral:rRNA from 1 species
UACGUAGGGUGCGAGCGUUAAUCGGAAUUACUGGGCGUAAAGCGUGCGCAGGCGGUUUGUUAAGUCAGAUGUGAAAGCCCCGGGCUUAACCUGGGAACGGCAUUUGAAACUGGCAGGCUGGAGUACGGCAGAGGGGGUGGAAUUCCGACGUGUAGGCAGUGGAAAUGCGUAGAGAUGAUGGAGGAACACCGAUGGCGAAGGCAGCCCCUGGGCCGAUGACUGACGCUCAGGCAC